rnacentral:rRNA from 1 species
AGCGAACGCUGGCGGCAAGCUUAACACAUGCAAGUCGAGCGCUGUAGCAAUACAGAGCGGCGGACGGGUGCGUAACACGUGGGAAUCUGCCUUUAGGUUUGGAAUAACUCAGGGAAACUUGAGCUAAUACCGUAUAAUGUCUUCGGACCAAAGAUUUAUCGCCUAAAGAUGAGCCCGCGGUAGAUUAGCUAGUUGGUGAGGUAAUGGCUCACCAAGGCUACGAUCUAUAGCUGGUCUAAGAGGAUGAUCAGCCACACUGGGACUGAGACACGGCCCAGACUCCUACGGGAGGCAGCAGUGGGGAAUAUUGGGCAAUGGGCGAAAGCCUGACCCAGCUAUGCCGCGUGAAUGAUGAAGGCCUUAGGGUUGUAAAGUUCUUUUACCAGGGACGAUGAUGACGGUACCUGGAGAAAAAGCCCCGGCAAACUUCGUGCCAGCCGCCGCGGUAA